rnacentral:pre_miRNA from 1 species
AAUAAGUUUAUUGGUAGGUUUCUAUAUCUAACUUUUGACCGUCCGUCUUAUCUGAAAAUUUUUAAAAAACAAGUCAUGCAUAAAGUACUAUUUAUAUCUUAUCAUCUAAUAACAAUAAAAAUACUAGUAAUUCAUAAAAAGAGCAAAUAAGACAUACGGUCAAACAUUGCACACAUAAACAUAUAAAUGAACUUAUU